GACGAACGCUGGCGGCGUGCCUAAUACAUGCAAGUAGAACGCACAGUUUAUACCGUAGCUUGCUACACCAUAGACUGUGAGUUGCGAACGGGUGAGUAACGCGUAGGUAACCUGCCUGGUAGCGGGGGAUAACUAUUGGAAACGAUAGCUAAUACCGCAUAAUAUUGAUUAUUGCGUGAUAAUUGAUUGAAAGAUGCUAUUGCAUCACUACCAGAUGGACCUGCGUUGUAUUAGCUAGUAGGUGAGGUAACGGCUCACCUAGGCGACGAUACAUAGCCGACCUGAGAGGGUGAUCGGCCACACUGGGACGGAGACACGGCCCAGACUCCUACGGGAGGCAGCAGUAGGGAAUCUUCGGCAAUGGACGAAAGUCUGACCGAGCAACGCCGCGUGAGUGAAGAAGGUUUUCGGAUCGUAAAGCUCUGUUGUAAGAGAAGAACGGGUGUGAGAGUCGAAAGUUCACACUGUGACGGUAUCUUACCAGAAAGGGACGGCUAACUACGUG
rnacentral:rRNA from 1 species